UAAAAAUAAAUAAAAAUGACUUGAUCAUAGAUUUAAGGGAAUGCUGCUGCCUAACGGACCCAGCCAAUGGUAUCGAAUUGAAUUAUAAAACGGUAAGGCUUUUUUGGCUUCAGAAUCCAGCCAACGUGCAGUUUCCAGUACCCAUUACCAUAGUACAAAAUCCAACCUAAAAGAGUAUGAACUGCAAGGUCGUUACAGCAAGAAAUAGACAUCUAUCUAGCUCACUGUAAGAGCUUGACCUUCACAGGCUUUGAGAACUCAAAUACAAAAUGUGAUCAUAACCAGGAUACAGAUGUUCCGGCUAAUCUGCAUAUUUGAAACACAGAUUAAAACAAGUGCAGAUAUCCUUGAUUCAUUUCAGAUGCAGGCACAAAACUAACCAAACAGGAAAGUUACUUCUGUCCAAAAACUAGCACAUGACAAUGCAAAUCCAUCAGCGAUACCAGAUAGCAGAGGCAGGGAAAAUACUGAGAAAGUCGAACAAACACACUCAUACAGUUAAAACCAAAUAAGGGAGAAAACAAACGACUUCAGUUUGUGAGAUAGAAAGGUUUCUAGAGACCUUGAUGAAACCUCCCCCAGUAAGGGCAUGACAGACAUUCAGCCAGACCACAUUCUCAGUUGUCAUAAUCCCGGGAAACCGACCUCUCUGAUCUUCUA